rnacentral:rRNA from 1 species
CAGUAGCCGCGGUAAUACAGAGGGUGCGAGCGUUAAUCGGAUUUACUGGGCGUAAAGCGUGCGUAGGCGGCUUUUUAAGUCGGAUGUGAAAUCCCUGAGCUUAACUUAGGAAUUGCAUUCGAUACUGGGAAGCUAGAGUAUGGGAGAGGAUGGUAGAAUUCCAGGUGUAGCGGUGAAAUGCGUAGAGAUCUGGAGGAAUACCGAUGGCGAAGGCAGCCAUCUGGCCUAAUACUGACGCUGAGGUACGAAAGCAUUGGGAGCAAACAGGAUUAGAGACCCGUGUAGUCCCUGUCUCUUAUAC